UACGUAGGUGGCAAGCGUUGUCCGGAUUUACUGGGCGUAAAGAGCGCGCAGGCGGUCGUUCAAGUCGCGUGUGAAAGCCCCCGGCUCAACUGGGGAGGGUCACGCGAUACUGAUCGACUCGAAGGCAGGAGAGGGUAGUGGAAUUCCCGGUGUAGUGGUGAAAUGCGCAGAUAUCAGGAAGAACACCAAUGGCGAAAGCAGCUCUCUGGGACGGUACUGACGCUGAGACGCGAAAGCGUGGGGAGCGAACAGG
rnacentral:rRNA from 1 species